rnacentral:misc_RNA from 1 species
ACAAUUUCCAUUUAUGAUAACAACCACGUGUAACAAUUAUAAACACCGCAUUUAUUUUUGUCCAUCACCUUUUAUAUACGUAUUUUUUUGCAACAUACAAGUAAGCAAUCAAUUGUACUGUACUUAGUCCAGCUAGCAGCCAAUAGAAGUAAUCAAGAUGACCCCGAUUCAAAUUAUUAGCGAACCAACUAUCAUGGCCUUCCCCGCCAGUAGCUUUUUCAAUGGCAGAGACGAGAAAGCUGCUUAUAAAGCUUCCUACACCAAAGAUGCUGAGGUAGAGAGAGAGACCCACACUUCUUAAUUCACUGGGUACCUGAUCAUAGAAGAAUUCUUGCAGACCUACCAUGGUAAAUACAUCAGCAAGUCCAAACAUGACAUAUUGAGGAACUAGCCACCAAAUGCUCAUUGGAACUGUCACAUUUGGCUUAUCAAUUAGCCCAUAUUCUCGAGCAACUUCAAGCCUCUUAAUCUCAAUCAAAGCAGCAAUUGCCAUAGACAGAACAGAUAAAAACAUUCCAGUUCCAAUCCUCUGAAGCAUUGUGAUGCCAGAAGGUUUCCCAGUCAAGGCCCUUGCUAUGGGAACAAAAACACGGUCAUAGAUUGGAAUGAAUAAGACAAUGGCAAGGCUGAUAAAAGAUUGAAGUGCAGCUGGUGGUACUUCAAAACUCAGGGAAAUUGAUCUAUCCAUAGUUACUCCUUGCUUGGUAAAGAAAGUUGAGGACUGUGCAUACACAACAGCAUAUACCAAGCAUGUAGCCCAUAUUGGAACAAGCCUAAGUACCGCCUUCGCUUCUUCAACUUCAGUAAGGCUACACACCUUCCCACUUUCCUUGGAGCCAUUUGGUGCAAGCAGGGCCUUGUUGAGGAACCUGGCACAUCAGAAGAUCCAAUUUGGAAUUUUAGAAGAGCUUUUGAUAUGUUAUAAAGUUGAGUUGAGUUUUCUAAGCAUCACUGUUUCAGCAACAUGAAGAACUGGACAGCAUAGGUUAAAGUUCAAGGAGACAAAGUUGUUUUAUUCAUCACCUAAGAAUUACUUUAAUGCCAUAAUCAAGUUUUCCUUUCACAUCCAUUUGACUAGAAAAGAAAUUUAAAGGCAUUUAAAAAAAAAAAAAUAAAGCAUCCUGGAGGCGUUGUUCACAAUGACUACUCCCCUCUCCAUAAUAAUUGAAAAGUGAUUUCCAAUAAAACCCUAAAAUGCAUAUCUUCGUGCAAUGAGCAAGAACACCACACAGCCUUUGUUGAAUGUUACUAUAAACAUUAAUCACACACAUUUUAUAGUUAUAUAAAUCAUGCUCAGAACAUAAAUCCCACAUUUGUAUUAUAGGAUAAGAGACAAGGUUGAGUUAAUACAGCAAUAAAAUACGACCUAAUCUGGUGAUAGAGCCACUCUAUCCAUUAACAUAAGCUUUUGGGUGAGAUACAUUUACAUGUUAGAGCCUCAUUUUUGGACUACACAUGCUAAGCCUUUGUCUCUGUUUAGUGGACUUUCUUGCUUAGGAGGAGUUGAGGAAAAGAAUUCCACAUCCACUGGACCUGAAAUCUAAUGACUUGGAAUACUACGGCUUAAUAUGAACAACUACACUAUUUGCCAGCCCAAGGUUUAGGGUUGGAUCCUUAGCAAAUCACAACAGUGAUUAAUUAUCCAACCAAUGAUUCAAAGAAGUCAUAGAGCUCAGAUUACUUUCAAAAUCUAUAAUCCUAAGUGGGCAAAAUCCACAAAAAGCUUUGAAACUGUGUUCAAAAUCUUCCAGACAUCUUAAUGCAUUUAUAUUCAUUUCUAUCCUGAAUUAUCAAAGAGCAAAAAUUUAUCUCUUACCUGAAUUGCUCAGAACCAUGAUGAGGUAGCAUUCCACGAGCUUCUUCCUCUAAAGUUAUUGCAGAAGGGUAAGUUCGCCAAUUCCUAAUUGUUGCAAGAAAUACCCUACCAAUUCUUAAAACUGCACUAUUCUCUUCUGCUUUGACACUAUAGCGAUAUGUCGUAGUUCCAAGUAAGAAGAUUAAUAGUGCAAUCACCAUCGUAAUACAUGGGAUUCCAAAUCCAAGAGCCCAACCAAGGUUGUCCUGGAUGUAGUUUAAGGUUAGUACAGUUACUAAAAUGCCGAAAUUCAUACAGAAAUACCACCAGUUAAAGAAUGAGCUUUUGGCUUUGCACUCCUCAGGGUCUUUUCCAUCAAACUGAUCUGCCCCAAAAGCCUGAACACAAGGUUUAUGCCCACCUUGCCCAAGUGCUGCCAAAUAGAGGGCAAAGAAGAACAAAACUACUUCAAAUAGAUGAGGAGAGCAAGAUGUGAUAGUACUGGAGCUUGGGCAACCAGAAGCACUGUGUGAAGGAAACAUAGCGGAUAUAGUCAUCAAGCCAAGUCCCAAGAGGUAGAUAAGAGAAGCAACAACAAUAGUGCGAUAUCUCCCAAGGAAAGAAUCGGCAACAAAUGCACCUAAC